GUCCCUUGCAUAGGACAGGGUUUUUACCCUCUGCUGAGGAUGGUAUUAACUAAUUCCCUUUGGCAGCUGGGAUGGGUGCCCAGGACUGAGAACACCAUGCUGGCGCUUUGUUGGCUGAAUCAUAUGGAGCCAAACCUGAAGCCAAGGAGAGCUUUGUGAAGGUCUGAUCCAUUCAGAAUUGGACAGACUGCUAUGGAGACCAACCACCUUUAUGGGAUGGACCAAGAUCUUCUCUAAUCCCAGGAAACACGCCUUCUGCUCACUGCAAACACUGGGGAGUAGAGCAGAGGUCUUUGGAAGUCUUUGUGAACCAAAGCGAGGAACCCGUCCAGCUCUCAGCAUCCUUUUUCAGCACAUUGCUGCCCCUAAAGCACCAGCUGCCGUCGCAGGGAGCGGUCACAAGGAAUUAAAGCUCAGGACCAUCUCUUGGGGUCGGGGACAUAAUCUUACGGACCACUCUAGUAAGAAAAGCAAGAAGAGCUCAGGAGUUGCUGCACCUCGGACUGAUCAGCCCACACCAGCCCCGCAGAGACAGCGAUUUCACGCGGGUGUUAUGCACCGUAACGCGCGAGCACGAGCGCUCAGUCUGGGAGCAGAACAGCAAACUCAUCAUGCCCUAUUUAGCAAAAUGUUCACUGCCAACAUGAAAUUCUGACCCUCACAUUUUAUUAAAGGGAUUAUAUCUUAAAGCAAACUAUUUCAGUCCCUUAGCUAGCUCCUUUCUGUGGAAACUUGCAAGACAAUUUUGAGGACCGUGGCGGGAUCAAGAUGAAACACUUCUGCUUUGCCCACUUAUUUCUUCAGAUGUGCUCAGAUCCUUCCUCUCCUCUGGUAUGUCCCACCUCGUGGUGUCAGCAGCCAUUUGCAAAGCAUCCUUGGCUUUAGUCUCAUCCUGCUUGCAAUUAAAUGCAUGGAAUUAAAUAGACUGCUGUAGGGUCAGCUCUUUUGCUGGUGACAAAUAGCCCUGCUAAACUACCUGCAUAACUCAAGAAGAGCAUCUCCAAGGCCAGAGGGGCUGGAAAGGCAGUUUUACCCUCGAUUGUUUUUGUGAGGGUUUGAAUCCAUUCUAUGGAUUCCACUUAAUGGUAAAAACACACAGUUUAUAUUGUAAAUGAUUGCAUAUGCAUGUUGCAGGGAAGUGGGGGUGGGCCACAUGUUGGGGUAGAUUUGAUAGAACAGCUUUGUGUCAAAUGAAUAGGUGGGUUUAUUAUAGACUUCCCUUGCUCCAAGCUUCAGAUGAGAGAAAUCCUAUAAUCCCGCCCUACUUUAAUACUGGAUUAAUGUGGAUUUGUUAAUAAAAUGCUAGUGAAAUCGAGAAUAAUUUGUAAU
rnacentral:lncRNA from 1 species